AGUGGGGAAUAUUGGACAAUGGGGGAAACCCUGAUCCAGCGACGCCGCGUGGGUGAAGAAGGCCUGCGGGUUGUAAAGCCCUUUCGGUGGGGAAGAAAAGCCUCGACCUAACACGUCGGGGUAUUGACGUAACCCACAAAAGAAGCACCGGCUAACUCUGUGCCAGCAGCCGCGGUAAUACAGAGGGUGCGAGCGUUAAUCGGAAUUACUGGGCGUAAAGCGCGCGUAGGCGGCUUUGCAAGUCGGAUGUGAAAUCCCCGGGCUCAACCUGGGAACUGCAUUCGAGACUGCAUUGCUCGAGUAUGGGAGAGGGAGGCGGAAUUUCCGGUGUAGCGGUGAAAUGCGUAGAUAUCGGAAGGAACAUCAGUGGCGAAAGCGGCCUCCUGGACCAAUACUGACGCUCAUGUGCGAAAGCGUGGGGAGCAAA
rnacentral:rRNA from 1 species